ACACAUGCAAGUCGAACGGAGCACCCUUGACUGAGGUUUCGGCCAAAUGAUAGGAAUGCAUAGUGGCGGACUGGUGAGUAACGCGUGAGGAACCUACCUUCCAGAGGGGGACAACAGUUGGAAACGACUGCUAAUACCGCAUGACGCAUGACCGGGGCAUCCCGGGCAUGUCAAAGAUUUUAUCGCUGGAAGAUGGCCUCGCGUCUGAUUAGCUAGAUGGUGGGGUAACGGCCCACCAUGGCGACGAUCAGUAGCCGGACUGAGAGGUUGACCGGCCACAUUGGGACUGAGAUACGGCCCAGACUCCUACGGGAGGCAGCAGUGGGGAAUAUUGGGCAAUGGACGCAAGUCUGACCCAGCAACGCCGCGUGAAGGAAGAAGGCUUUCGGGUUGUAAACUUCUUUUGUCAGGGAAGAGUAGAAGACGGUACCUGACGAAUAAGCCACGGCUAACUACGUGCCAGCAGCCGCGGUAAUACGUAGGUGGCAAGCGUUGUCCGGAUUUACUGGGUGUAAAGGGCGUGCAGCCGGGCCGGCAAGUCAGAUGUGAAAUCUGGAGGCUUAACCUCCAAACUGCAUUUGAAACUGUAGGUCUUGAGUACCGGAGAGGUUAUCGGAAUUCCUUGUGUAGCGGUGAAAUGCGUAGAUAUAAGGAAGAACACCAGUGGCGAA
rnacentral:rRNA from 1 species